UUUUUUUUUUUUUGGGUUAUUAUAUUAUGUGUUAAAUAAUCGAUUUCCAUUUGGUGGAAUUUCGGGUUCAGGAUACCAAUCUCAACCUUAUCAAUACACCCAAGCAAUCACGACCCAAAACCUUUAAACUCUUUCCACACUCCGGUUUCUCAAAAUUUGUACUCACUUAGGACACAAAGGGGACGGUGUUUGUAGCCACAAAGGCUAGAGAAGAACAAGAAGAAACCGAGAGCACAAAGCAAAGAGCAAACUUGAUUUUCUCUCAAACAAGGCCAAACACACGUGAGUGACAAAAAACAAAGAGGCCAACUUAUGUAAGUUAGGUUAGGUUAAAGUGAAGGAACCAAGCCCAAUACAAAUACCCUAAGUGGGCCAACAUAUAUAAGACAUCCAAUAAAUGUAGAAAUCGGGCCAUGAGUAACACUAAUUAAUUAGAUAGCUUCCAAUGGCCCAAAUAGUCUUAGGGUUGGGUCAUCAAUCUUGGGUGUCGAUAUUUAAUUUAUCCAACAUCGAUUUAACAUCAUCGUUCGAAUUAUUGGGUACCAAAACCCAACAAUCUCCACCUUGAUGCCCAAUAAUCUGCAAACAAACAAAAUACACAGUUUAUACUUGCACAAUCAAGGUAAUCCAAUAAAAUUGGUAUCACAGACUUUACCUUGUGUUUUGAACCUGAAACACAUACCGUACUAGCUCUACCAGGGCUAAGGUUCAAAAAUACCCAAAUAAGAAAAAAAUAUUCAUAGUGAACAAAUAAUCAUGCGAUGAAGAUAUUAUAUAGGAUAAUACACAGAUCUUUUCAAAAUCACGUUCACACAGAACCACACAUUAACACCAAGUUAAUCAACAUACGGUCAAACAAAUAUGCAACAAAUGCAUAAAUGACCCCCGAAAAUAUCUCACCACACAUAUCCUAUCCUAUUUCGUGUUACUCCCAUCUCGAGAACACAUAUCUCCUCUCAUUGUCCACCAUGCUCACUAGAUAAUCGCUCAACUCAUGUGUAACUGGAAAGUCACAAUAGAUCCUAAGCUCUCGGGAUAAUCCUCUAUCACCACAUCACUUUUCCCAACCUACGUGGAUAUUGGGUUUCUACCUUACCAAAGUGAUAAAAGUGCCUCUUCACACUCCACCUGUAUAGGGUCUCUUUCAUAGAUAAAGGAUUCUAAACAUUUGAUCACAUCUCCACUCGUGAUCCAAAUGUCACACUCCACAUCCCUGGUACAAACCACAAUGUACCCCUAGGCAUCUAUACUCACCUUAUCAAAAGACAUCUGACUCACUGUUAAUGCAUCCUAACCCACUAUGCAUGUAAACGAUUACAUCAAUUAAUCACAUUAUUUUAAAUUCAUGCAAACACACCUAUCAAACAAAUUAAAAUGCAACAUAUAAUCAUACAAUAGAAUUAGGCAAUCACACACAUGUAAAAAAGAUCACACACAAAUACAUAUGCAGUAGCUAGAUUUAAUCUCAAUAAACCUCACUAGGGUCAUAACUCGACCCCUCAAUCAAAUUUGUCUCAUCCCUCACAUUACUCUUCUGCUUAUCCUUCUUCUUGGAACAAUCCCUAAUAAAGUGUCUAGACUUACCACAAUUGUAACACCGUUUACCAUGAGACUUGUCUCAUCCCUUGCCCUUCUUCUUACUACCUUCAUCACUCGAGUCACUACUUGAAUCACCACUAUUUUGAGCUCUACCCAAGUUCAUUUGCUUAAAUUUCAUCCUACUCCUUAUUAGGUGUAACUCACCG
rnacentral:lncRNA from 1 species